CACGAACCGUACGAACGUUAUUCGGAAUCACUGGGCUUAAAGGGUGCGUAGGCGGCCCGGUAAGUUGGGUGUGAAAUCCCUCGGCUCAACCGAGGAAUUGCGCUCAAGACUGCCGGGCUAGAGGAAGUCAGAGGUGAGCGGAACUUAGGGUGGAGCGGUGAAAUGCGUUGAUAUCCUAAGGAACACCAGUGGCGAAAGCGGCUCACUGGGGCUUUACUGACGCUGAGGCACGAAAGCCAGGGUAGCGAACGGG
rnacentral:rRNA from 1 species